GAAAAGAAGUGCCCACCCACCAAAAUGCUUUUGCCAACCUCACCAGCCAAAGUCCUUGAAACAGAACCAAUUGGUAUUGCUGCUCAUCUCUAGUUGUUGGGAGAGUCCCUCAGCCUCAUUGGACACAGACUGCAGGAAACAGAGGGCAUGGUAGCAGUGUCUGGAAGCUUCUCAGUGCUCCUGGAGUCCAUAAUCUGUGUGCUCUUGUCCCUUUGGCAUGUCUGGCCAUGCUACUACCUGAACUGAAUGGCUAAACUAAACAGGUCUUGUCAAGCAUGCUGGACAACACUGAAUAUAUCAUGCCUGGAGUGUGA
rnacentral:lncRNA from 1 species